GCCACCAGCCAUGUCACCCUGCAACUUACAACUGAAAACCCACUGAAGCUAAGCAGGUGUGAGCCUGGUCAGUACCUGGAUGGGAGACCUCCUGGGAGAAACUAAGGUUGCUGCUGGAA
ensembl:rRNA 5S_rRNA 5S ribosomal RNA